rnacentral:rRNA from 1 species
AGUGAACGCUGGCGGUAGGCCUAACACAUGCCAGUCGAACGGCAGCACAGUAAGAGCUUGCUCUUACGGGUGGCGAGUGGCGGACGGGCGAGGAAUACAUCGGAAUCUACUUUUUCGUGGGGGAUAACGUAGGGAAACUUACGCUAAUACCGCAUACGACCUACGGGUGAAAGCAGGGGAUCUUCGGACCUUGCGCGAUUGAAUGAGCCGAUGUCGGAUUAGCUAGUUGGCGGGGUAAAGGCCCACCAAGGCGACGAUCCGUAGCUGGUCUGAGAGGAUGAUCAGCCACACUGGAACUGAGACACGGUCCAGACUCCUACGGGAGGCAGCAGUGGGGAAUAUUGGACAAUGGGCGCAAGCCUGAUCCAGCCAUACCGCGUGGGUGAAGAAGGCCUUCGGGUUGUAAAGCCCUUUUGUUGGGAAAGAAAAGCAGCAGGUUAAUACCCCGCUGUUCUGACGGUACCCAAAGAAUAAGCACCGGCUAACUUCGU